CUCCUGAAAUAAGAAAUUUGUGCUUUUUUGUUAUUUGAGAGAAUUUCUUGGAUACUUACACAACCCAUUCAUAAGUACCGUUUAAAGAUCCAUCAAGAACAUUUCUUUUCUUCAACACAAACUCAAUUUCUUCUUCCACUCAAUUUCUCUCUCUUUUUCUUCAAUUCUCACACAAAACGAAACCAUGAAAUCCGACAGAGGGAAGGAGAAAGAGAAAGAGAACGAUCGCUGCAUCAGUUCUCAUAUGCAGACCCUUCAUCGCCGUCUUCUCCACGCCUUAAACCUUGGCACCAGAUCUCAACUUGCACCCCCCAUCCCACCCAGUCACUUCCCUCCAGACAUUUUGAUGAGAAGACAAAUAGAUGGAAAAAUGUGCUAUGAUCAAUUGGUGCGCUCUUGAUUCAUUAUCAGGAGAUGCACGUGCAGCAUGUCAUGCUAUUGUUAAGGAACCUGUUGCCGAUAUUUUGGGAGCGCAUUAUUAUGGAUUUUUCAAUGCAAAAGUGAGGCUUUGUUAAGCAUGGCAUCAGAUGUGGCAGUAAAGGUAAUUAGUUUUAUACCCAAUUCAUUAUUGCAAUUCCAUAUGUUGGAUCUUGUCUAUUGUCUGUCAUCCUUGCUAUCUUCACAUCAAGUAGAAGUUGCAACACCCUGUGCUAUUGCUUUGAAUUUGGUAAUCUCAAAUUUGAGUGCUACAAGUGAGAAGGCAGUUAUGGAAGCAUUGAAAGAAACAGAGACUUCCAUGCGUAUUGUUGGAAAUAGAAAAGAUUUUGCUGAAGGUGCAAAAAAAAUUGAAUAUUUUGAAGAGACGACUUUGCUUUUGAGCACAAUACUGUGGCGCUGGCCUCCUUCUAGGUUCCCUGUUGGUAAUGAUGUUAUACUUAUGAAAGUCUUAGCAAACAUCCAUACAAGGACAGAUAGUUCUAUUAAACUUACACUUUUAAAGCUGUACACAUCUUUAUGUAUUAAAAUAUCCCUCCACCUUCCACUACAAACAAAAAAAUUUCCUUAUUAUCAUCCAUUCUCAAGUAUUUAGGCUAGCUAACGUCUAUUUUGUUACCAGCUUUAUGUGAUUCUGUAGCAAGAAAACUUAUAGAGGAUGGAGAGGUAUUUCCACAAAUGUUUGUGCUUGCUCAAUGUCUAUUGAUUGGUUUUAUCUGUUCAGAGAUCCCAAGCGAAUUGUUUAAAAGUGGUUGGUUUGUGUGGUGAAGCUCUUGUUGAUGCAAUAAUUUGUGGGAUGACAGAAACUGGGCUUAGUUCUAAAUAAAUUGGGAACAACCAUGGGUCUUUGUCAGUGGAAGCAUGCCAGUCGGCUCUAAUUACUCGCUGGGCGGGUGAUCAUCAUAUCAAGUUUUGGAAACAAGGAAUUGAUAGAAUUCUCCUUAAUCCUCCUGAUUGAAAAUAUUCAAGACCAAUUGUCUAAACCUGUCUUGUCAUUGAAAAAACAAAUAUCCAUGGUAAAAGAGGGAUUAAAAGCCAAUUAUCAUCUUGGUCUUGGGAGUUAUCUAUGACUAUGAGACAUUCUUGGGUGGCUUACUAUUCACUGUGGAGAAAAUUUAAACCCUCGUACUCAUGGAAGUGAGCUCUGCAUCAACUUACUAAUUACAUGUGCAUUGUAAAUUGUAUUCUUUCCAUUAUAAUUUCUUGAUGGAUUUAUCAUGUGUAUACAUGUUGAUGUUAUAAUAUAUAUCCUAUGUCUCAGUUUCUUACUAAUACUGUUGAAGGUUGAUUAUAUUUCUGAAAUUUUAUAGGUGAACUUUUAUUUCACCUUCACUGUGUUGAUGCUCUCCAACUAUACUAAUUCUAAUUUCUCCUUUGUCUAUAGCUUGAGUUUUGUGGAUACACUUGAAAAAUGGUGCCGAAUAUGUCAAAAGGAUAUUGCUGAUCCUUUUCAAGGCGAACCAGUAUCAAGGGCUGUUCUCGUGAUGAUCCAUUCUCCACGUAAUUCUAUCUCCUCGCAUGCUAGAUUCUUAUUAUUAGAUGUACUGAAUGCGAAAGGCUUGUCAGGCUUGAAAAGCUUAAUUUAAUACAUACUCUGGAUUAUACAUCAUCCCUAGAAAGUUAUGGAUCAUUUGAUAAACUUCAACUGGUUAUUAACUUAAUUGGGUUGACUUGUCUUUCAAGUUUACCAGAGUAUCAAAGAUGUAUCAUAGAGAGCAAAGGGAUAAAGGCAAUUGCUCUUCUUGUGAAACGAUGCUUGAUUCAAAUUCAUAUUAUAAAAUCUGGAUGCUAUUAUCGCUUUGAGAAUUAAGGGUUUUGAUGCUAUUAUUGCUUGAA